rnacentral:rRNA from 1 species
UGUGAGCUCGAUGAGUAGGGCGGGACACGUGGUAUCCUGUCUGAAUAUGGGGGGACCAUCCUCCAAGGCUAAAUACUCCUGACUGACCGAUAGUGAACCAGUACCGUGAGGGAAAGGCGAAAAGAACCCCGGCGAGGGGAGUGAAAAAGAACCUGAAACCGUGUACGUACAAGCAGUGGGAGCACAGAGCAAUCUGUGUGACUGCGUACCUUUUGUAUAAUGGGUCAGCGACUUAUAUUCUGUAGCAAGGUUAACCGAAUAGGGGAGCCGAAGGGAAACCGAGUCUUAACUGGGCGUUAAGUUGCAGGGUAUAGACCCGAAACCCGGUGAUCUAGCCAUGGGCAGGUUGAAGGUUGGGUAACACUAACUGGAGGACCGAACCGACUAAUGUUGAAAAAUUAGCGGAUGACUUGUGGCUGGGGGUGAAAGGCCAAUCAAACCGGGAGAUAGCUGGUUCUCCCCGAAAGCUAUUUAGGUAGCGCCUCGUGAAUUCAUCUCCGGGGGUAGAGCACUGUUUCGGCAAGGGGGUCAUCCCGACUUACCAACCCGAUGCAAACUGCGAAUACCGGAGAAUGUUAUCACGGGAGACACACGGCGGGUGCUAACGUCCGUCGUGAAGAGGGAAACAACCCAGACCGCCAGCUAAGGUCCCAAAGUCAUGGUUAAGUGGGAAACGAUGUGGGAAGGCCCAGACAGCCAGGAUGUUGGCUUAGAAGCAGCCAUCAUUUAAAGAAAGCGUAAUAGCUCACUGGUCGAGUCGGCCUGCGCGGAAGAUGUAACGGGGCUAAACCAUGCACCGAAGCUGCGGCAGCGACGCUUAUGCGUUGUUGGGUAGGGGAGCGUUCUGUAAGCCUGUGAAGGUGUACUGUGAGGUAUGCUGGAGGUAUCAGAAGUGCGAAUGCUGACAUAAGUAACGAUAAAGCGGGUGAAAAGCCCGCUCGCCGGAAGACCAAGGGUUCCUGUCCAACGUUAAUCGGGGCAGGGUGAGUCGACCCCUAAGGCGAGGCCGAAAGGCGUAGUCGAUGGGAAACAGGUUAAUAUUCCUGUACUUGGUGUUACUGCGAAGGGGGGACGGAGAAGGCUAUGUUGGCCGGGCGACGGUUGUCCCGGUUUAAGCGUGUAGGCUGGUUUUCCAGGCAAAUCCGGAAAAUCAAGGCUGAGGCGUGAUGACGAGGCACUACGGUGCUGAAGCAACAAAUGCCCUGCUUCCAGGAAAAGCCUCUAAGCAUCAGGUAACAUCAAAUCGUACCCCAAACCGACACAGGUGGUCAGGUAGAGAAUACCAAGGCGCUUGAGAGAACUCGGGUGAAGGAACUAGGCAAAAUGGUGCCGUAACUUCGGGAGAAGGCACGCUGAUAUGUAGGUGAAGUCCCUCGCGGAUGGAGCUGAAAUCAGUCGAAGAUACCAGCUGGCUGCAACUGUUUAUUAAAAACACAGCACUGUGCAAACACGAAAGUGGACGUAUACGGUGUGACGCCUGCCCGGUGCCGGAAGGUUAAUUGAUGGGGUCAGCGCAAGCGAAGCUCUUGAUCGAAGCCCCGGUAAACGGCGGCCGUAACUAUAACGGUCCUAAGGUAGCGAAAUUCCUUGUCGGGUAAGUUCCGACCUGCACGAAUGGCGUAAUGAUGGCCAGGCUGUCUCCACCCGAGACUCAGUGAAAUUGAACUCGCUGUGAAGAUGCAGUGUACCCGCGGCAAGACGGAAAGACCCCGUGAACCUUUACUAUAGCUUGACACUGAACAUUGAGCCUUGAUGUGUAGGAUAGGUGGGAGGCUUUGAAGUGUGGACGCCAGUCUGCAUGGAGCCGACCUUGAAAUACCACCCUUUAAUGUUUGAUGUUCUAACGUGGACCCGUGAUCCGGGUUGCGGACAGUGUCUGGUGGGUAGUUUGACUGGGGCGGUCUCCUCCUAAAGAGUAACGGAGGAGCACGAAGGUUGGCUAAUCCUGGUCGGACAUCAGGAGGUUAGUGCAAUGGCAUAAGCCAGCUUGACUGCGAGCGUGACGGCGCGAGCAGGUGCGAAAGCAGGUCAUAGUGAUCCGGUGGUUCUGAAUGGAAGGGCCAUCGCUCAACGGAUAAAAGGUACUCCGGGGAUAACAGGCUGAUACCGCCCAAGAGUUCAUAUCGACGGCGGUGUUUGGCACCUCGAUGUCGGCUCAUCACAUCCUGGGGCUGAAGUAGGUCCCAAGGGUAUGGCUGUUCGCCAUUUAAAGUGGUACGCGAGCUGGGUUUAGAACGUCGUGAGACAGUUCGGUCCCUAUCUGCCGUGGGCGCUGGAGAACUGAGGGGGGCUGCUCCUAGUACGAGAGGACCGGAGUGGACGCAUCACUGGUGUUCGGGUUGUCAUGCCAAUGGCACUGCCCGGUAGCUAAAUGCGGAAGAGAUAAGUGCUGAAAGCAUCUAAGCACGAAACUUGCCCCGAGAUGAGUUCUCCCUGACUCCUUGAGAGUCCUGAAGGAACGUUGAAGACGACGACGUUGAUAGGCCGGGUGUGUAAGCGCAGCGAUGCGUUGAGCUAACCGGUACUAAUGAACCGUGAGGCUUAACCUU